rnacentral:tRNA from 3 species
GCCGAGGUGGUGGAAUUGGUAGACACGCAGCCUUGAGGGGGCUGUGCCGGAAACGGUGUGCAGGUUCAAAUCCUGUCCUCGGCACUA